ACAGAGAGUGCGAACGUUGUUCGGAAUUACUGGGCUUAAAGCGCACGUAGGCGGUGUCGUAAGUGUCAGGUGAAAUCCCACGGCUCACCCGUGGAACUGCCUGGCAGACUGCGAUACUAGAGUGUGGUAGGGGAGAGCGGAACUCCUGGUGGAGCGGUGAAAUGCGUAGAUAUCAGGAGGAACACCGGUGGCGAAGGCGGCUCUCUGGUCCACAACUGACGCUGAGGUGCGAAAGCUAGGGGAGCAAACGGGAUUAGAUACCCCGGUAGUCCUAGCCGUAAACGAUGGGCACUAGCUUGGGGUCUCCCUGUGUGAUCCCAGGUGAAGUAAAAAUGAUAAGUGCCCCGCCUGGGGAGUAUGGUCGCAAGGCUG
rnacentral:rRNA from 1 species